rnacentral:rRNA from 1 species
UACAGAGGUCCCAAGCGUUACUGAGAAUCACUGGGUUUAAAGGGUGCGUAGGUGGUCCGUUAAGUCAGUUGUGAAAUCCCCGGGCUCAACCCGGGAAAUGCUUCUGAUACGGGCGGACUUGAGGCCAGUAGGGGUCACUAGAACUGACGGUGGAGCGGUGAAAUGCGUAGAUAUCGUCAGGAAUGCCGGUGGUGAAGACGGGUGACUGGGCUGGUUCUGACACUGAGGCACGAAAGCGUGGGGAGCGAACGGG